GAUGAAGAACGUAGUGAAAUGCGAUAAGUAGUGUGAAUUGCAGAAUCCGUGAGUCAUCGAAUCUUUGAACGCACAUUGCGCCCUCUGGUAUUCCGGAGGGCAUGCCUGUUCGAGCGUCAUUAUCACCCCUCAAGCCCGGCUUGUUGUUGGAUGCAGCGCUUAUCCCGCUCCUCCCAAAGAUAAUGACGGCGUCUGCGACGACUCCUGUACACUGAGCUUUCGGGCACGUACACGGCUAGAAGUCCAGACCCGGUCGCCGUCCCCCCCGCGGGGACACCCAUUACCACAAGGUUGACCUCGGAUCAGGUAGGAAUACCCGCUGAACUUAAGCAUAUCAAUAAGCGGAGGA
rnacentral:misc_RNA from 1 species